rnacentral:rRNA from 1 species
UUUAACACAUGCAAGUCGAGCGGUAGCACAGAGAGCUUGCUCUCGGGUGACGAGCGGCGGACGGGUGAGUAAUGUCUGGGAAACUGCCUGAUGGAGGGGGAUAACUACUGGAAACGGUAGCUAAUACCGCAUAACGUCGCAAGACCAAAGUGGGGGACCUUCGGGCCUCAUGCCAUCAGAUGUGCCCAGAUGGGAUUAGCUGGUAGGUGGGGUAACGGCUCACCUAGGCGACGAUCCCUAGCUGGUCUGAGAGGAUGACCAGCCACACUGGAACUGAGACACGGUCCAGACUCCUACGGGAGGCAGCAGUGGGGAAUAUUGCACAAUGGGCGCAAGCCUGAUGCAGCCAUGCCGCGUGUGUGAAGAAGGCCUUCGGGUUGUAAAGCACUUUCAGCGGGGAGGAAGGCGGUGAGGUUAAUAACCUCAUCGAUUGACGUUACCCGCAGAAGAAGCACCGGCUAACUCCGUGCCAGCAGCCGCGGUAAUACGGAGGGUGCAAGCGUUAAUCGGAAUUACUGGGCGUAAAGCGCACGCAGGCGGUCUGUCAAGUCGGAUGUGAAAUCCCCGGGCUCAACCUGGGAACUGCAUUCGAAACUGGCAGGCUAGAGUCUUGUAGAGGGGGGUAGAAUUCCAGGUGUAGCGGUGAAAUGCGUAGAGAUCUGGAGGAAUACCGGUGGCGAAGGCGGCCCCCUGGCCAAAGUCAGACGCUCAGCCAGACAAGACUCACCCCAACGCAGCUCACAUCCC